rnacentral:rRNA from 1 species
AUGAAGCCCCCCUCAAGAUGAGAUUUCCCAUAGCGUAAGCUAGUAAGAUCCCUGAAAGAUGAUCAGGUUGAUAGGUUCGAGGUGGAAGCAUGGUGACAUGUGGAGCUGACGAAUACUAAUAGAUCGAGGACUUAACCA